AGUGAACGCUGGCGGCGUGCUUAACACAUGCAAGUCGAACGAGAACGGAUUAUAGCUUGCUAUAAUUGUCAGCUAAGUGGCGCACGGGUGAGUAAUGUAUAGGUAAUAUGCCUCUUACUAAGGGAUAACAAAUGGAAACGUUUGCUAAUACCUUAUACUCCUUAUUAACAGAAGUUAAUAAGGGAAAGAUUUAUUGGUAAGAGAUUAGCCUGUAUUGUAUCAGUUAGUUGGUGGGGUAAUGGCUUACCAAGACUAUGACACAUAACUGGUUUGAGAGGAUGAUCAGUCACACUGGAACUGAGACACGGUCCAGACUCCUACGGGAGGCAGCAGUGGGGAAUAUUGCACAAUGGACGAAAGUCUGAUGCAGCAACGCCGCGUGGAGGAUGACACAUUUCGGUGCGUAAACUCCUUUUAUAUGAGAAGAUAAUGACGGCGUUAUAUGAAUAAGCACCGGCUAACUCCGUGCCAGCAGCCGCCGUAA
rnacentral:rRNA from 1 species